rnacentral:rRNA from 1 species
CCUACGGGAGGCAGCAGUGGGGAAUAUUGCACAAUGGGGGAAACCCUGAUGCAGCGACGCCGCGUGAGUGAAGAAGUAACUCGUUAUGUAAAGCUCUUUUAGUAGGGAAGAAAAUGACGGUACUUGAGUAAGAAGCCGCGGCUAACUCUGUGCCUGCAGCCGCGGUAAUACGGAGGGGGCAAGCGUUAUCCGGAUUUACUGGGGGUAAAGGGAGCGUAGGCGGCAGUGGAAGUCUGGAGUGAAAGGCGGGGGCUCAACCCCCGGACGGCUCUGGAAACUGUACGGCUGGAGUGCAGGAGAGGUAAGUGGAAUUCCUAGUGUAGCGGUGAAAUGCGUAGAUAUUAGGAGGAACACCAGUGGCGAAGGCGGCUUACUGGACUGUAACUGACGUUGAGGCUCGAAAGCGUGGGGAGCGAACAGGAUUAGAUACCCGUGUAGUC